CUUUCCCCUCCAGUGUCCUCCCCUCUGCCCUCUGCCCUCUGCCCUCCCGAAAGAAACCAAUAACUUCCUCCCUUUCUUAUCUGAACUGGGGUUUUCAUCAUUCAAAUGCCACGCUCCGAACAUCAAAUUGAGCCACGUUAUCUGCAUCUCAUGGCUAGGCCCCACCACCGUUCCGAUGCCUCUGCGCUCUUAAUAACCCCCGCGAUCUUCUUGCCUUCUGGUUCAACUCCCUUUCCCUCAAUUCCUCCGUCGCUUUUUCUCAUACGCAGACAGUUUCAUCUCACUCAGUUAACAUCCCAACUUCAAUAACGCACUCUUGAUUCAUAUUCCUUCUUUCGGCGAUACAGGAAUUAAAAUUAAUCCCUCCGAGAUUCUGCUCUUUUCAGGUGUCUCAACCUAUCUAAGCUGUUCUUCCAGGAAAAUUUUCUGAUGGGAGGCGCUUGUUCUUUGAAGAGAGAUUAUAGUGCUGAUGGAUAUGGACUCCAUAGAGGCAUUUCCGGCAUGUACUUCAAAUGUGGAUAUUCGAAAGAGCGAAGGGCCUCGGUUCACUCAAAUUCUGGUUGCCCCCCACAAGGAGGUAGCUGUCCAUCGCUCAUGGAACUUUGCAUUUACAAGAUACGCCAGGAAAUUCACAAAUAUACUUCAUUCUAUAUGCUGCCAAGAGAUAUAAGCCAGUUGAUAUUUAAUGAUCUGGCGUCCUGCCACGCUCUUUCAGAUUGUUCUAUUAAAGCUUUCAGAGACUGUGCUCUGCAGGAUAUAUGCCUGGCAGAUUAUCCAGGAGUGAGAGACAGUUGGAUGGAUGUCAUUACUUCACAAGGAUCGUCUUUACUUACCAUUCAGCUUUCAAGUUCUGGUCUUACAGAUGUAGGCUUGGCUCAGCUUAAGAAUUGCUCAAACCUCCAAGCACUAUUGUUUGAUCGUUUUGAUAAUGUCUCUGAACAUGGCCUAAAGCAACUUGAUGGUUGUCUUUCAAACUUGGCAUAUUUGGGUUUUAUCAAAAGCAAUGCCCUUACCCGUGAAGGAAUGCAGGCUUUAUCCAGCCUGUUUAAUUUGGAAAAGUUGGAUUUUGAUAGGUGCCCUAGGAUUCAUGGUGGACUUGUGCAUCUAAAAGGUCUGACAAAGCUGAAGUCUCUUAAGAUCAGGUGUUGUAAAUGCAUUACAGAUUCCGACAUGGAGUCUCUUGCAGGUAUUUUUGGGAGCACCGUCUGCUUUGCGUUGCAAGUGCUCAACUUUUGGUGGAAUUUGUUGAUCUUCAAAUUUUCAUGCUUCAGGGCUUAUAAAUUUGAAGGAAUUACAGAUUUCAUCUGUUAACAUUACGAACAUUGGAGUUUCAUAUUUGGAAGGUUUAAGCAAUCUCAUCUCACUCACUGUGGAAGGAUGCAAUGUUACUGCAUCAUGUUUGGAUCCAAUUUCAGCAUUCAGACAUUUGAAGGUGUUGAAUUUGGGGUUCAAUGAUGUUACAGAUGCAUGUCUAGUGCAUCUGAAAGGUCUAACAAGAUUGGAAAGUCUAAAUCUGGAUUCCACACGUGUUGGUGAUGGCGGACUUGCUAACUUAGUUGGUAGUUACUUGUUUAUAUUUAAUGACAAGUAGGUGUUUUUAACGAGUAAAACAAACAUUCUUUUGUCUGACCGGUUAAAGUUGGUAACUCAUGUCUUCAUGAGUAAAUAUUGAAGUGAAGAUUUCUAUUGACUUAAAUGAGACUGUAUUUGAAUAUUUCAGGGCUACAAGGUUUAAGAAAGCUUCACCUGUCAGAUACUGAAGUUGGUAGUGAAGGGCUUCGCCAUCUAUCUGGUAGGAUGUUCUUCUUACACCGCUGUGUGGUACUUUCCGAGGUGCUUGAUGAGUAAUUUAGAACUCUUUUUUUAGCAGAGCUAUGUUUUGAAUGCCCUCUCAUAUCUUUAAAUGGGAAGCACAAUUGCUGCUCUCUCAUGCAUAUGACUCUUUUAGUUGUAUUGUUUCAAGAAUUUAUUUUGUGUCUGUUGAUAUAGACUUCGUGAAUGAUUGCUGAAAUUUUUUAUUUUGGUUAGUGCAAUGAUUUGCGCGCACAGGGAAGCUAAAUGUAGCGAGAAAUAUUUAAAAAUAAAUUCUGUUUAUUGUUUUUCGUGCCUGUCAAUCGUAACAUCAUUAGGUUAUACUGCCACAAAAUGGAAAAUAGAGCUUGGAUUAUUUUGAUUAUUGUAAUUUGGAAAUGAUUAAGUUGAUUCUAAUCUCAACUUUUUUACUGCAAAAUGUUGGGAUUGUCUGCAACUUUUGUGUUUUAAUGGAUAAGCUAUAAUGUGGAUUUUGCAACUUAUAAUAGACCUGGUAUUAUUUCUGUUACCUUCUGUAUGUGUUAUAUUUGGAGAAUAUAUUGACUCGAGUCUAUCUGACAUCUAAGGUCUGACCAACUUGGAGGAAAUCAAUCUGGCAUUUACAUCAGUAACUGAUGGUGGGUUGGAAAAGUUAUCCCAGUUGACAAAUCUCAAAUCACUGAAUUUGGACGCUCCCCAAAUUACUGACCAUGGUCUGGAAAUGCUUACAGGUUUGACUGAAGUGACCCACUUGGAUCUGUUUGGAGCUCAUAUUUCAGACUCUGGAGUAAACUGCUUGUCAUAUUUCAAAAACCUACAAUCUCUCGACUUAUGUGGUGGAAAGUUGACGGAUGCUGGAGUGAAGAAUAUCAAAUAUCUUACCUCCCUGAUGAUUUUGAACCUGUCACAAAAUCUCGACCUUACUGAUACAGCUUUGAAGUUUAUCUCUGGGCUGGUUGCGCUGGUAUGUCUGAAUGUGUCGUAUUCACGCAUCACGAAUGAGGGUCUGGAGUAUCUGAAGCCUCUGAAGAAUUUGAGUUCAUUGUAUUUGGACUUCUGCAAUGUGACCGGAUCAGGAAUCAGAAAGCUUCAGUCCAAGUUCCUCCCAAGUCUCGUAAGGUUCCGCCCCGAGUGCUAGACACAAAAAUGGUCAGGUCAGGUCAGGUAUUACGAGCCGUUUGGCUGCCUGCUAUUUGCUGUGUAAAUACUCUUAAGCUAAGCUAAGCUAGCAGUCGGGAGGUUGUUUUGAAGAUUUAACAAGAAAGGGAAGAACGUUGUGGGUAUAAAUGGGGGUUGUAAAUACUAAACAGUUGUUGUUCCAUGGGAUGGAUGAUAAUAAUGAAGUACUCUUUUUUUUUUUU